rnacentral:rRNA from 1 species
CAGCACCUCAAGUGGUCAGGAUGAUUAUUGGGCCUAAAGCAUCCGUAGCCGGCUCUGUAAGUUUUCGGUUAAAUCUGUACGCUUAACGUACAGGCUGCCGGGAAUACUGCAGAGCUAGGGAGUGGGAGAGGUAGACGGUACUCGGUAGGAAGGGGUAAAAUCCCUUGAUCUAUUGAUGACCACCUGUGGCGAAGGCGGUCUACCAGAACACGUCCGACGGUGAGGGAUGAAAGCUGGGGGAGCAAACCGGAUUAGAGACCCGAGUAGUCC